rnacentral:rRNA from 1 species
GAACGCGAAGAACCUUACCUACCCUUGACAUCCUGCGAAUCCCGAUGAGAGUUGGGAGUGCCGCAAGGAACGCAGAGACAGGUGCUGCAUGGCUGUCGUCAGCUCGUGUUGUGAGAUGUUGGGUUAAGUCCCGUAACGAGCGCAACCCUUGUCCUUAGUUGCCAUCAUUUAGUUGGGGACUCUAAGGAGACUGCCGGUGAUGAACCGGAGGAAGCGGGGACGACGUCAAGUCAUCAUGGCCUUUAUGGGUAGGGCUACACACGUGCUACAAUGGGGCGUACAGAGGGUCGCCAACCCGCGAGGGGGAGCCAAUCUCUUAAAGCGUCUCGUAGUCCGGAUCGGAGUCUGCAACUCGACUCCGUGAAGUCGGAAUCGCUAGUAAUCGCGAAUCAGCAUUGUCGCGGUGAAUACGUUCCCGGGUCUUGUACACACC